rnacentral:rRNA from 1 species
CGGCGGAGCAUGCGGAUUAAUUCGAUGCAACGCGAAGANCCUUACCAAGGCUUGACAUGUUCUCGAUCGCNGUAGAGAUACGGUUUCCCCUUUGGGGCGGGUUCACAGGUGGUGCAUGGUUGUCGUCAGCUCGUGUCGUGAGAUGUUGGGUUAAGUCCCGCAACGAGCGCAACCCUCGUUCCAUGUUGCCAGCACGUCGUGGUGGGGACUCAUGGGAGACUGCCGGGGUCAACUCGGAGGAAGGUGAGGACGACGUCAAAUCAUCAUGCCCCUUAUGUCUUGGGCUUCACGCAUGCUACAAUGGCCGGUACAAUGGGUUGCGAUACUGUGAGGUGGAGCUAAUCCCAAAAAGCCGGUCUCAGUUCGGAUUGGGGUCUGCAACUCGACCCCAUGAAGUCGGAGUCGCUAGUAAUCGCAGAUCAGCAACGCUGCGGUGAAUACGUUCCCGGGCCUUGUACACACCGCCCGUCAAGUCACGAAAGUUGGUAACACCCGAAGCCG